CUCGCUUGUCCUUGAGGUUUACUGUGUUUGGCAUCGCAGUUCCGACGGCAGCCGCCGUUUCGCGACCCACGGCGGACUUGCAUAAACACUUUCUAGUUGGAAUCUCACCCUGUGAGGUGGGCAAGGUAGUGAUAUUCCUGUUUGACGCCGACAGAAAUAAGAGAGAUUGACUCUCAGAACCAUGUGGCGGGAUUUUAAAGGAGGAUCUUAACAGUGGCUCGGACAGACCCGUGUUUUCUGCUCCUAGCAUUAACUACGUCGUUAAACCCUUCUGAAUUUAUUUCGUCUGUGAAAUGGGGAAAAGAUAGCCACCUUGCAUAACUGGUGAAGAAUUCGUAAACUGACAGCAGAAUCUAGUAAGAGGACUGGCCCGUGGUCGGCUCUUAAUGGUGUCACAGAAUAAAGAAAAAGACUGGGAGAGAGAUGGGAGCUGAUAGACCAGAGGAGACCAAAGACUGAAACUGAAGACUAAACCAUGGAAAUUGGGAACAAGCACUUACUCGCUUAGAGGGUGAAAAAAGUGAAUUUGCCUACAGGGCCAAUUUGGAAGCACCUCUCCCUGGAAGCCAGUCAAUGAAGAGCCAUUGGAGGAUUUUAAAUAAGGAACCGAAAAAUGGAGUCUGAAAAUAGAGGCGCAGAGACCGGUAAGUUGGUGGUUGCCAAUCAGUGGUCCAAGGAAAAGAUAAAUGAGCAGAGCCGUGAUCAGGACCAGAGAGGAGGCAACAGAAAAGAGAUGCUCAGGAUACAAUCGAUGCGCUUCGAGAGUGACUGGAGGUCAACCACAAUGAAGAACAAGCCAUUUUGACCUCCAUCCUGGCUCAUCUCCUCUGUGUUCUCAUAGCAUCAUAUUAUAGAAUGGAUCACAAACGCCUUUGCAGUUGCCUAUUUAUUUGUCCAUUUCUCCCUCCAGACUGUGAGUUCCCAGAGGGCAUGUCUUAUCUAUGUUAGUAGCCACAUCCCCGGUAUCUGGCUCUGUGGACAACACUCCGUAACUGUUGGAGGAAUGAAUGAAUGAGUGAGUGAGUGAGUGAAUGUUUUCCCUGAAAUUCAAACCUUGAUGGUUGAACUUGUCAUUAUUUGGUUUACGGAACAAGCUAGGCUGAUUGAAUUGACUUGGCCAGGCACAAUUAGGCAAAAUGUAACACAAAGAAGAUGAGUACACCAGCCUUGCUGAUUGAGGAGAUCAGCUGUGGAUGAGCCAAGUGCCAGCUGCCAGCUGCAGUUGCAAGGCCAUGUUCUUCUUCUAGCUAGGAACAUUCUGUGGCAGAGACUCACUCAGGGGUCUGAAUAUCAGAAUCACAACCAGAAAAUGGCUCAUUAUUGCACAGACAAAUAAUUGGCGGCUCUCUCCAAGUAACAGUGUCUUAAGUUAGGUUCCCUAGAAGCAGAUUAUAAAACGAAGACUCUUGGUCAAGUGAUUUACUGAGCUCAUGCUCUCAGGAGAAAAGGAGUGAGAGGAGCAUAAUAGGCAGGGAGAAAAGCUAGAGGAGAGCUCAGCUGGCGACUGGCUGCAGCCUGAUCACCUUGAGCUAUGGAGCUGGCCAACCCUUUGUCUCUCUGUGUGGAUUAGUCAUUGGCUGUGGGCUAUCCCUGGGGGCAGGAACCAUAACCUCCUAGUGAACACAGCUCUUAUUUCAGUAGAGAGCAAUUCUCUGGAAAAGUGGGCAGCUGUGAGCUAUUGAAAGUCAGUACCCAGAGCUGGAGGAUGGGUGCACGGCUGGUAAAGGUGCUCUGGGCAUGGCACCUCCAGCAUCUACCAGAGUUGGAUUGUGGGAAAUAUUGUUAUAGUCACUUUUCAAAAGAAUAUAUUUAUGCAGCCAACAGACAUAUGAAAAAAUGCUCAUGAUCACUGGUCAUUAAAGAAAUGCAAAUCAAAACCACAGUAAGAUGCCAUCUCACGCCAGUUAGAAUGGCGAUCAUCAAAAAGUCAGUAAACAACAGAUGCUGGAGAGGAUGUGGAGAAAUAGGAAUGCUUUUACACUGUUGGUGGGAGUGUAAAUUAGUUCAGCCAUUGAGGAAGACAGUGUGGCGAUUCCUCAAGGAUCUAGAACUGGAAAUACCAUUUGACCCAGCAAUCCCAUUACUGGGCUUAUACCCAAGGGAUUAUAA
rnacentral:lncRNA from 1 species